AUUGCCCUAGUAACGGCGAGUGAAGCGGCAACAGCUCAAAUUUGAAAUCUGGCUCUCGGGCCCGAGUUGUAAUUUGUAGAGGAUACUUUUGAUGCGGUGCCUUCCGAGUUCCCUGGAACGGGACGCCAUAGAGGGUGAGAGCCCCGUCUGGUUGGAUGCCAAAUCUCUGUAAAGUUCCUUCAACGAGUCGAGUAGUUUGGGAAUGCUGCUCUAAAUGGGAGGUAUAUGUCUUCUAAAGCUAAAUACCGGCCAGAGACCGAUAGCGCACAAGUAGAGUGAUCGAAAGAUGAAAAGCACUUUGAAAAGAGAGUUAAAAAGUACGUGAAAUUGUUGAAAGGGAAGCGUUUAUGACCAGACUUGGGCUUGGUUAAUCAUCUGGGGUUCUCCCCAGUGCACUUUUCCAGUCCAGGCCAGCAUCAGUUUUCCCCGGGGGAUAAAGACGGCGGGAAUGUGGCUCUCUUCGGGGAGUGUUAUAGCCCACCGUGUAAUACCCUGGGGGGGACUGAGGUUCGCGCAUCUGCAAGGAUGCUGGCGUAAUGGUCAUCAACGACCCGUCUUGAAACACGGACCAAGGAGUCGUCUUCGUAUGCGAGUGUUCGGGUGUCAAACCCCUACGCGUAAUGAAAGUGAACGCAGGUGAGAGCUUCGGCGCAUCAUCGACCGAUCCUGAUGUUCUCGGAUGGAUUUGAGUAAGAGCAUACGGGGCCGGACCCGAAAGAAGGUGAACUAUGCCUGUAUAGGGUGAAGCCAGAGGAAACUCUGGUGGAGGCUCGCAGCGGUUCUGACGUGCAAAUCGAUCGUCAAAUAUGGGCAUGGGGGCGA
rnacentral:rRNA from 1 species